UCAAAUUUGAAAUCUGGCGUCUUUGGCGUCCGAGUUGUAAUUUGCAGAGGGCGCUUUGGCGUUGGCAGCAGUCUAAGUUCCUUGGAACAGGACGUCACAGAGGGUGAGAAUCCCGUACGUGGUUGCUGGCCUUCGCCGUGUAAAGCCCCUUCGACGAGUCGAGUUGUUUGGGAAUGCAGCUCUAAAUGGGAGGUAAAUUUCUUCUAAAGCUAAAUACUGGCCAGAGACCGAUAGCGCACAAGUAGAGUGAUCGAAAGAUGAAAAGCACUUUGGAAAGAGAGUCAAACAGCACGUGAAAUUGUUAAAAGGGAAGCGCUUGCAGCCAGACUUGCCUGUAGUUGCUCAUCCGGACUUUUGUCCGGUGCACUCUUCUAUAGGCAGGCCAGCAUCAGUUUGGGCGGUUGGAUAAAGGUCUCUGUCAUGUACCUCUCUUCGGGGAGAACUUAUAGGGGAGACGACAUGCAACCAGCCUGGACUGAGGUCCGCGCAUUUGCUAGGAUGCUGGCGUAAUGGCUGUAAGCGGCCCGUCUUGAAACACGGACCAAGGAGUCUAACAUCUAUGCGAGUGUUUGGGUGUCAAGCCCGAACGCGUAAUGAAAGUGAACGGAGGUGGGAACCCCUCGGGGUGCACCAUCGACCGAUCCUGAUGUCUUCGGAUGGAUUUGAGUAAGAGCAUAGCUGUUGGGACCCGAAAGAUGGUGAACUAUGCUUGAAUAGGGUGAAGCCAGAGGAAACUCUGGUGGAGGCUCGCAGCGGUUCUGACGUGCAAAUCGAUCGUCAAAUUUGGGCAUAGGGGCGAAAGACUAA
rnacentral:rRNA from 2 species